AUUGAACGCUGGCGGCAGGCCUAACACAUGCAAGUCGAACGAGUGGCGGACGGGUGAGUAAUGUCUGGGAAACUGCCCGAUGGAGGGGGAUAACUACUGGAAACGGUAGCUAAUACCGCAUACCAUCGGAUGUGCCCAGAUGGGAUUAGCUAGUAGGUGGGGUAACGGCUCACCUAGGCGACGAUCCCUAGCUGGUCUGAGAGGAUGCCCAGCCAUGAGGGAACUGAGACACGGUCCAGACGCCUAGGGGAGGCAGCAGUGGGGAAGAUUGCACAAUGAGCGCAAGACUGAGGCAGCCAUGCCGGGUGUAUGAAGAAGGCCUGCGGGUUGUAAAGUACGUGCAGCGAGGAGGCGGUACUCGCAGAGGAAGCACCGGCUAACUCCGUGCCAGCGGCCGCGGUAUUC
rnacentral:rRNA from 1 species